GCCGUCUUGGGAACGCGUAUUUUUCUGAUCGUGGCAUGUCGUGCUUCUACUAUACCUGAGUGCGUGAUGCGCGCGCCCCGUUUUGCGGUCACUGCGUGGUUGUGCUGCUGUUUUGUGAAACGUGAGAGAGGCCACCGGUCAUGCCAAGGGCCUCUCUGAUCGUGUUUACUUUCACUUUUCUGUGAGAACAACGAACGCUCGUUUUGCGUCAGGGCGAAAAAGCACAAGGGUGCCACGCAAGCUACCCCAACGAGUCGCUGCUACCCGUGUUCUCCUUCCCGAAGGGAGAAAGUCGCCCGGCAAUACCGUGGAAGGAAUGCGAAGGGACGAGCUCUACAGAGGAAAGAGGCGAAUAUGCCCCGUGCCUCCCUCUUACCGUCAUGGUGUUGCUUCCCAUAAAGGAGCUGUAGCAUGACGGCAUGUGUGGCCGACGUGACAACGAUGCUGCCGUCUUCCCUGCCAACCACCAGGCGUCCUUGCAGGGGCAGGUAGACGCUAGCCGUGUGAACUUCAAGUUUGGGGCCAUGAUUUGCACUCCCGUGUCCCAUGGCGCAAAGAUGGCCUGCUCCCACACCGGGGGCUUUGGUUGGCCUAUCUGGUUGGCCAGAUGGCAAGCCACCAUCCAAGCUGUAGGUCUGACCACCGCCUUCGUCAAGUGCUCUGCAGCUGCUGGGGACUGAGGGAUAUAGGUUGAUUGAAGGAGUCAUGAGGGAGGUAGUGGCCGAGUACUGCACCAAGGAGGCCAAUUCCUGUUCUGUUCUUGGCCAGCUUCACUGUCCAGCAGUCCCUCGGCCUGGUGUUCCUGCAAGUUCUUGGUCACGUCGUCCAAGAUGGCGGUGCUCGCCUGGCGACUGCGAAAGGCCACCAUGAUGCCAGGGAAGCGAGACUGAAAGACAAACGUCGCAGGUACGAAAGAUCGACGGGAAAUGGCAGUUGCCGGCAUAGUCUACACCUGGAUAGCACGUGACUGCACUCUCACCUGCUCGAUCCUGAGAACAUUUUCGACAGCCAAGGUAUCGAUGUGUCUGGGAACCUUUCGAAGCCGCACGACGCAUCCAGUGCUCUGCAUUAGAAGUGUGUUUGUCAGCCACGUGACUGCUACACACUGCCGCAGCGUUGUGCGAACAAAAGCGACAGCGAUAGGAUGUGCCAGCCGAGCAAUACUAUAUGUUCAGCUUUGUGUCGAAGAAACGUGACGUGGCAAUAAAAGUUUGGUAGUU